CCUACGGGAGGCAACAGUGAGGGAUAUUGGGCAAUGGAGGCAACUCUGACCCAGCCAUGCCGCGUGAGUGAAGAAGGUUUUCGGCUUGUAAAGCUCUUUCGGAUGUGACGAUGAUGACGGUAGCAUCUAAAGAAGCCCCCGCUAACUUCGUGCCAGCAGCCGCGGUAAUACGAAGGGGGCAAGCGUUGUUCGGAAUUACUGGGCGUAAAGGGAGUGUAGGCGGUUUAGUAAGAUAGUGGUGAAAUCCCAGGGCUUAACUUUGGAAUUGCCAUUAGAACUAUUAGACUAGAAUGAAAGAGAGGAUAGUGGAAUACCCAGUGUAGAGGUGAAAUGCGUAGAUAUUGGGUAGAACACCAGUGGCGAAGGCGACUAUCUGGCUGUACAUUGACGCUGAGGCUCGAAAGCAUGGGGAGCAAACAGGAUUAGAUACCCCAGUAGUC
rnacentral:rRNA from 1 species